CCUUAUAUUUUCCCCUACCUUUCGCCUUGUUCUCACAAUUGUGAUUACACAAUGAGAUAAAACAGAGCAAACGCCCCUAUAUAGCCACAAGGAUACCAUAGUUUGUUCAAGAAAGUGAGUAUAACGGUAAAGGCCAAGGACAACCGAAGGAUGUGAGAUAACCGCACAGUCACAGGCCCAGGCACACUGAAUCCCAGCGAUAAGUCAAGAGCUGUCCAAACAUUUAUCUUUGGUCAGGGGAGUGAUGAUAUAUUUCUCUAUUACAAACCUGAUUCCGAGAUUCUUUCGAUUAAAAUCUCUACCGAGAGAGAGAGUAGCGACAUCUUUGAAUCAAAAGCGCCGGCAAAAAGCGUGUCUCUUGGAGCGAGCUCAGGCCCCCUGGCUACCCGGCGGAAGCCCAGCUCCGGCGGCAUAAAUUAUCUGCGCUGUGGAUCUAAAUUAAACAAAAACAUUUGACAUUGCCCACGGCUCUCAGGCAAAUCCUUUAAAGACAAACACAGGCAAGAGGCUGCCACUCCUUCCACCAUGCAAGGUUGUCUUACAAGGAUUCGCCAUUAAAAAUGUUAAUUAGUUGAGCAAACAGUGCGAUUGAGCUUCAACUGUGGCACUCUCUGUUACCAUGGAUGCAAAAUUGGUUAUAUAUAAUAAAUAUAAAAUACAUGAAAUAUCUUAAA